AGAGAAUCUUCUGCCAUAAGAGACCGGUAACCACCGGUAACCAUAGUUAAUGGCUCUGGUAAUAUAGCUAGGGUUUAGUAACGGUUCACCGUACCCAUUUUUACAAUAAUUUCUGUGAUGACGCCACAUCUGGCAUCUUACCCCCCCCCAAAAAAAAAAUGUGCCCAACAGAGAGGCUCGCGGCCUCGUUCCCACUCAGUCCAAGUUUGCCCCUCUUGUAGUGACGGCCACGUUGCAUCUCUCUCCGUUCCUAAUAAAAAUUGCCUUCCGCUUAGUUUCAGCGUACUUCACUUCAUCACAAUUACCAUACUACUUAUGAACAGAAUAGCCAAACCUCGAGAGAGCGUCAAGUUUUCAUCUACCAAUAAACCUUAAUUCAGUUUUUAAUUUGAAUUUGAAGAUGGGGGGGGGUGAGGGAUAUGCGCCAAACUAUAAAACAAAUCCCAUGCUCGUUUGGGUACAUACAUUAAUUCCUGUCAUACUUUCAACGUUUUCAACGACAGAAUUUUUUAAAUUAUGUGUUAUGUUUUAUCGCAUCAGCUGUGUUGUCAGUUAGCAUUUGAAUGCUCCUAGAUAAUGCAGCGUAAGAGUCGACGGUCCAAGUUACUGGGCAUCCUUCAUUAACCUCGCCGCCGAGGCAUCAGCAUGGAGUAAAAUUUUUGGCUUGCAGUUCAGGUUUGGAAGACCCCGAAAUCGGUUGCGGAUCAGACGAUAUUGGAGGGGCCAAGCCUAAGCGAUCGCUGAAGUUUCUUUCCGAUGGAAACAACUCCCUCACAUCUAGAAUUCCUAGUUUUUUCCCCUUAGCCAAACCAAGGAAAGAAUUUUUUGCAUCCCUUGCUGCCAUUUUCAAUGACAAGACUGACAGCAACAGAAACCACUCGCUUCUCAAAAAGAAAUCGACUUCUACGGAAAAGUUAUUGCAAGAGCCUAGCGUUGGUGAUACUUUCAGUGAUGGCGUCGAAUGCGUUUCACGUGGAGUUCGAUGCAAUCAAUGUGACUGAAGCUCAUGUUCAUCGGUAAAUUCAUUCUAUCGAAUAUUCACUCCAUUACUUGAGUUAUUCGUAUUGGUCUUCCGCUUGUCUCCCUUUCUUUUUCAUCAAUGUAAUUGAACUUAGAAAUUUCACGACAUUUGUUUAGUUCACAGAUACCUCAUUUUCUGUUGUGUUCUUGCUAUCGUUUAACGUUACUUGAACGUUCUAAAGACGUGCUUUAAAAUUCUUAAAGUUUUGGUAUCUGUAACCACUGUAUUUCUGCAAAAAUUACUUUAGAUGUUUUUCAUUAUCCAUAAACCUUAAACUAUGAUCAAUUUUGUAUUGGGCGCGUUCUGUUUUAUUUCUAGAUAUACAAUAAUUGAGUAAUUUUUCCUUGUAUCAUUGAUAAAGGCACGUGUAGAUAUCAGGAAGUUUGUGAAGAUUGGCAGGCCAGGUUACAGAGUCACAAAGCAGCGUGAUCCAAACUCUGGUCACCUGAGCAUGCUUUUCAAAGUUGACUAUCCAGAAAUCGCUGAAGGAGUUGCACCUAAGCAUCGAUUCAUGUAAGCCUAUGAGCAGCGUAUUGAAACUCCAGAUCGUCGUUGGCAGUAUCUUUAGUUUGCUGCAGAACCAUAUGAAACAAUCGCUUUCAAAAUUCCUUCUCGAGAGGUAGACAAGAGCGAAGGCAAAUUUUGGUGCCGCUCAAUCCUAUUCACCGGUGCUUGUUCAAUAUCUUCCAGGAAUUUUUCGUGUAGAU